GACGAACGCUGGCGGCGUGCUUAACACAUGCAAGUCGUACGGUAAGGCCCUUUCGGGGGUACACGAGUGGCGAACGGGUGAGUAACACGUGAGUAACCUGCCCACAACUUUGGGAUAACGCUAGGAAACUGGUGCUAAUACUGGAUAUGUGCUCCUGCUGCAUGGUGGGGGUUGGAAAGCUCCGGCGGUUGUGGAUGGACUCGCGGCCUAUCAGCUUGUUGGUGGGGUAGUGGCCUACCAAGGCGGCGACGGGUAGCCGGCCUGAGAGGGUGACCGGCCACAUUGGGACUGAGAUACGGCCCAGACUCCUACGGGAGGCAGCAGUGGGGAAUAUUGCACAAUGGGCGCAAGCCUGAUGCAGCAACGCCGCGUGCGGGAUGACGGCCUUCGGGUUGUAAACCGCUUUCAGCAGGGACGAAGCUUUUUGUGGCGGUACCUGCAGAAGAAACACCGGCUAACUACGU
rnacentral:rRNA from 1 species